UCUUUAACUUUGUAGCACAUGAUAUAUCAUGAAGUAAGUUGUUUAGAGUGGCCAAGAUAGUUUUCGUCAUUGCUAGUUCCUUUCUCAAUAGUUUGAAUUAGGAAACAAUCUCAUAUUCUUCUCCACAUGGAUGUUUUAAUGUUAAUUUGGGAGAAUGCCAAGAUACAGUAGGAUCAGGAGACAAGAACAAUUAAUGUUGAUUGAUGUUGGGUUUUUAUGGGGAAAGCAUGUGCCAAUUUAUUAUCUUGUUUGUGGAAUGUAUUUUUCAGACAAAAAAAGAUCUUAAAAGUUUACUGAACUAUUUGAAGUUACAUUGUUGCUAAACAAACACAAUUCUUCGUAGUUUGUAGAAUGUCCCUUGAAACAUUGUUUUUUGCUCACAAUUCUAGUGUCUUGGACUAACUAUUGAAUAUUUUGCAUAGUUGCAAGAGCUAAAACAGCGAGCAUCAGAGAAUGAGGAUGAGCCUUUCGCUAACCCUGGGGUGUCCGACAAACAGCCGUUACAUGUUAUGGUGGUACGUCAGAAGGAGACUUUUUUUAAAAACUAUUAACACCUUCUUUUGAACUGCAGGUGGACCCGAAAAUGUCAAGCAGAUCAUCCCGUUUUGCACAAGAAGUUAUAUCAACUAUUGUGUUCACUGUUGCUGUUGGUCUUGUCUGGAUAAUGGGUGCAGCUGCACUUCAGAAGUAUAUUGGCGGCUUAGGUGGGAUAGGAACUCCUGGAGUCGGUUCUAGUUCCUCUUAUGCCCCAAAAGAUUUGAAUAAAGAAAUAAUGCCAGAAAAUGUAAGUCUUUCUGGAUUAAUUACAUUCAUGUGGCUCCGGCUAUUCAAUUUUUUCGUAGCAUAUUAUCAUAAGUGAAUUGUUUGUUUGAUAAAAUAUUGCAUUGAAGCUCGCGUUUUUACUUUAGUUGGUUAGCUGAAUGGUUUAUUUGACAAGUGUAAAACUGCUUUUUAUUUGAUAUAAAGCACAUUAUAACUUUUAAAAAGUACUGUGGCAAAAUGUUAAGACAUUUAAAGACGUUAAAGGAUGUGAUGAUGCUAAAGAAGAGCUCGAGGAAGUUGUGGAGUAGCUAAGAAAUCCUUCAAAGUUCACUCGUUUAGGAGGGAAAUUACCGAAGGGAAUUCUUCUGACCGGAUCUCCUGGAACUGGGAAAACUCUACUUGCCAAGGCUAUAGCUGGAGAGGCGGGGUACCUUUCUUUUACCGAGCAGGCUCUGAGUUUGAAGAAAUGUCAGGACUUGUGAAAGCAGUGGCGUUUAUCUUCUCUCUCACGAUAACAUAAUGAUUAAUAGUAAUAUAUUAUCUUGUGCAGAUUCAUCUUUAUAGCCUCAAGGCUAAUGAUCUAAGCAACUUUUUAAUAUUUUCAGUUUCUAAUUGGCUAGCAGUGAUAUGGAUUUUGUUUGUGGAUGUUGGUGCUCGCCGCGUAAGAUCCCUGUUUCAGGCAGCCAAGAAGAAGGUACAGUGCUUAUUCUUCCUGUUCAUUCUGGUCAUUGAAAUCAUCACUACGUUGUUUAUGCUGAUGGAAUAAAAUAAGAGAGAGAAAUGAGAGGAAAGUAGGAGAGAGCAUGGAUGGAACACUCGAGUAAUGUUGAAUGGAGGGAAUACUUCGUUAUUUCUUUCCAUUUUAUAUCAUGAAGUGUAUUAUCGUUUUAUUAGGGAGAAGUCUUGGCCUCUUGGGUGGUCAUAAUAUUGAAAGUAUUUUAUAUUACUGAUUUUUUCGUAUUAAGUA